rnacentral:rRNA from 1 species
GUCUUUUUGAUUUUAAUUUAAAGUCUAACCUGCCCAAUGAAAAAAAAUUUAAAUGGCCGCAGUAUUUUGACUGUGCAAAGGUAGCAUAAUAAUUAGUUUUUUAAUUGAAAGCUGGAAUGAAGGGUUGGACGAGAGAAUAACUGUCUCUUUAUAAAUUAGUUAUAAUUUUAUUUUUAAGUUAAAAAGCUUAAAUUUAUUUAAAAGACGAGAAGACCCUAUAGAGUUUUAUUUAUUUUGUAUAAAAAAUAAGUUUAGAAUUAUUAUUGUUUUUAUAUAAAUUAAAUUUAGUUGGGGUGAUUGAAAAAUUUAAUGAACUUUUUUUUUAUUUAAACAUUAAUAUAUGAAUAAUUGAUCCAUAAUUUAUGAUUAAAAGAUUAAAUUACCUUAGGGAUAACAGCGUAAUUUCUUUGUAGAGUUCUAAUCGAUUAAGAAGUUUGCGACCUCGAUGUUGGAUUAAAAAAUAGUUUUGGUGUAGAAGCUAAAAUAUUUAGGUCUGUUCGACCUUUAAAAUUUUACAUGAUCUGAGUUUAGACCGGCGUAAGCCAGGUUGGUUUCUAUCUUUAAUAAUUUUUAAUAUUUUAGUACGAAAGGACCAAAUAUUAUGAAUAAUUUAUUUAAAAUUGAUUAUUAUUAAU